rnacentral:rRNA from 1 species
GACGAACGCUGGCGGCGUGCGUAACACAUGCAAGUCGAACGAGGUUCAGUCAGUAGCAAUACUGACGAAGACCUAGUGGCGAACGGGUGAGUAGCACGUGAGCAACCUGCCCCGAAGACCGGGACAACACCGGGAAACCGGUGCUAAUACCGGAUACCCCCACCGAGUCGCAUGGCUUGGUGAGGAAAUGGAUUCCGCUUCGGGAGGGGCUCGCGGCCUAUCAGCUUGUUGGUGAGGUAACGGCUCACCAAGGCUUCGACGGGUAGCUGGUCUGAGAGGACGAUCAGCCACACUGGGACUGAGACACGGCCCAGACUCCUACGGGAGGCAGCAGUGGGGAAUCUUGCACAAUGGGCGAAAGCCUGAUGCAGCAACGCCGCGUGAGGGACGAAGGCUUUCUGAGUUGUAAACCUCUUUCAGCAGGGACGAUUGUGACGGUACCUGCAGAAGAAGCCCCGGCCAACUACGUGCCAGCAGCCGCGGUAAUACGUAGGGGGCAAGCGUUGUCCGGAUUUAUUGGGCGUAAAGAGCUCGUAGGCGGCUUGGCAAGUCGGAUGUGAAACCUCCAGGCUCAACCUGGAGUCGCCAUUCGAUACUGCCAUGGCUAGAGUUUGGUAGGGGACCACGGAAUUCCUGGUGUAGCGGUGAAAUGCGCAGAUAUCAGGAGGAACACCAGCGGCGAAGGCGGUGGUCUGGGCCAAUACUGACGCUGAGGAGCGAAAGCGUGGGGAGCGAACAGGAUUAGAUACCCUGGUAGUCCACGCCGUAAACGUUGGGCACUAGGUGUGGGGACCUAUCGACGGUUUCUGUGCCGCAGCU